rnacentral:rRNA from 1 species
AGUGAACGCUGGCGGUAGGCCUAACACAUGCAAGUCGUACGGCAGCACAGUAAGAGCUUGCUCUUACGGGUGGCGAGUGGCGGACGGGUGAGGAAUACAUCGGAAUCUACUUUUUCGUGGGGGAUAACGUAGGGAAACUUACGCUAAUACCGCAUACGACCUACGGGUGAAAGCAGGGGAUCUUCGGACCUUGCGCGAUUGAAUGAGCCGAUUUCGGAUUAGCUAGUUGGCGGGGUAAAGGCCCACCAAGGCGACGAUCCGUAGCUGGUCUGAGAGGAUGAUCAGCCACACUGGAACUGAGACACGGUCCAGACUCCUACGGGAGGCAGCAGUGGGGAAUAUUGGACAAUGGGCGCAAGCCUGAUCCAGCCAUACCGCGUGGGUGAAGAAGGCCUUCGGGUUGUAAAGCCCUUUUGUUGGGAAAGAAAAGCAGCAGGUUAAUACCCCGCUGUUCUGACGGUACCCAAAGAAUAAGCACCGGCUAACUUCGUG